rnacentral:rRNA from 1 species
GAUGAACGCUGGCGGCGUGCCUAAUACAUGCAAGUCGAGCGAACUGAUUAGAAGCUUGCUUCUAUGACGUUAGCGGCGGACGGGUGAGUAACACGUGGGCAACCUGCCUGUAAGACUGGGAUAACUUCGGGAAACCGAAGCUAAUACCGGAUAGGAUCUUCUCCUUCAUGGAGAUGAUUGAAAGAUGGUUUCGGCUAUCACUUACAGAUGGGCCCGCGGUGCAUUAGCUAGUUGGUGAGGUAACGGCUCACCAAGGCAACGAUGCAUAGCCGACCUGAGAGGGUGAUCGGCCACGCUGGGACUGAGACACGGCCCAGACGCCUACGGGAGGCAGCAGUAGGGAAUCUUCCGCAAUGGACGAAAGUCUGACGGAGCAACGCCGCGUGAGUGAUGAAGGCUUUCGGGUCGUAAAACUCUGUUGUUAGGGAAGAACAAGUACAAGGGUAACUGCUUGUACCUUGACGGUACCUAACCAGAAAGCCACGGCUAACUACGUGCCAGCAGCCGCCGUAAUAC